GGAGGGAUGUCCGAGCGGCUUAAGGAGACGGUCUUGAAAAUCGUUGACUGAAAGGUCCGGGGGUUCGAAUCCCUCUCCCUCCGCCA
rnacentral:tRNA from 1 species